rnacentral:lncRNA from 1 species
CUGCUGACUACUCCCCGGACCAGCAGGCAGUUGGUUGUAAUUGUAACCACUUUGAUAGGUUGGAGGGUGGUGGGAUGUAGGUCCAUUAUGAUGAUAGGGAGGCACAUCACUGUGGCCUUGCCACGAUGCUGAUGCCGAUGAUGGAUAGUAAGCUUCAGGAUUCUCAUUAUAAUGUUGGGAACUCACUUGAUUGUGUGCUCUAUUAUUGUAGUGUUGGGAAUGAUGUCGCAUGUCGCGGUGGUGGUGCCCUGCAGGUGGCUGAUGGUAACCGUGAUCUUGGUGGCCGCGUGCUGUGUUGUGAUGACCUUGGGAGUAAUUCGGUCUGCCACCUGGUGGCAUCCUGUAGUCUACUGCUUGAUCUCUUGAUCUAUAAUCUC